GUUUAGACUUGGGCGGAAUGAACUGGGAGAUUCCGGAGUGAAACUGUUGUCCGCGUCUCUCAGGAACCCGGAGUGUAAAAUACAGAAACUGUGGUUGGACAAGGUUGGUCUCACAGAUUCUGGUGCCGAGGAUCUUGUCAUUGCUGUCAGUACAAACCGAUCACUGAAGGAGCUGAUCCUGGGAUCAAACUCGCUGACAGACCAAUCUAUCCCUGCUCUCCGCCGCCUCAUACUGACACUUCCAAAUCUGGCGUGCAUCUGGCUGGGGGGGAAUCGGUUCAGCGAGACCGGGGAGAAAGAACUGAGAUCACUGCAGGAACCCAGACCCCGACUGGGAGUGAUUCUGUG